CCAGCCCCUAGAGGCGGGGCCGUCGUGGCGCCAACUGUUCAAGAUGGCUGCAGAGAAGCUGAGGAGCAAAGUGGGCUCUGCCUUCAAGAUGCACGGUUUGCUGCUCCGAGCUGAAGCUAAUAAAUACCUUAUUGAAGCUCUUCAGUCUGUCAAUGAGUUAGAGCUUGAAGAUGUAAUAGAAAACAUCAUUGAUGCUGUUGAAAAACAGCCUUUGUCAUCUAAUAUGAUUGAACGGGCCACAGUGGAAGCCGCAGUCCAGGAAUGUAGCCAGUCAUUAGAUGAAACUAUAGAACACAUUUUCAAUAUUAUCGGGGCCUUUGACGUUCCACGUUAUGUUUAUAAUUCAGAAAGGAAGAAGUUUCUACCUCUAUCAAUGACCAACCAUCCUGCACCAAAUUUAUUUGGAACUGCCAGGGAUAAAGCCGAGUUGUUUCGUGAACGCUACACCAUCUUGCAGCAGAGGACUCAUAGACAUGAGUUGUUUACUCCUUCAGCGAUUGGUGCUCAUCCUGAUGACAGCAGGAGUAAAUUCCAGCUUAAAACAAUAGAAACUCUGUUGGGCAAUACAGCUAAAGUUGGGGAAGUGAUUGUUCUUGGGAUGAUAACACAGCUAAAAGAGGGGAAAUUUUUCUUGGAAGAUCCUACAGGAGUUGUUCAGCUAGACCUUAGUAAAGCACAGUUCCACAGUGGCUUAUAUACUGAGUCAUGCUUUGUUUUGGCAGAAGGCUGGUAUGAAGAUCAAGUAUUCCAUGUGAAUGCUUUUGGAUUUCCACCUACUGAGCCUUCUGCUACCACUAGGGCAUAUUAUGGGAACAUAAACUUUUUUGGAGGGCCUUCUUCAACUUCAGUAAAAGCUUCUGCAAAACUGAAACAACUGGAGGAUGAAAAUGAAGAUGCCAUGUUUGUUUUUGUUUCUGAUGUUUGGCUGGACCAAGUGGAAGUGUUAGAAAAGCUUCACACUAUGUUUUCAGGUUACUCCUCUGUGCCUCCAACUUGCUUUUUCUUUUGUGGAAAUUUUUCAUCUGCACCAUAUGGAAAAAAUCAAAUUCAAUCCCUAAAAGAUUCCCUCAAGGCUCUUGCCGACAUAAUAUGUGAAUACCCCAGCAUUCAUAAAAGCAGUCGAUUUGUGUUUGUUCCUGGUCCUGAAGAUCCUGGUCCUGGUCCAAUUUUGCCAAGGCCACCACUAGCCGAAAACAUCACUAGUGAAUUCAGACAGCAGGUGCCAUUUUCAGUUUUCACUACAAAUCCUUGCAGGGUUCAAUACUGCACACAAGAAAUCAUCAUCUUUCGUGAAGAUUUAGUAAAUAAAAUGUGCAGAAAUUGCGUCCGCUUUCCAAGCACCAACUUGGAUAUUCCUAACCAUUUUGUAAAGACUAUAUUAUCACAAGGACAUCUGACUCCACUUCCGCUUUAUGUCAGCCCUGUAUUUUGGGCAUAUGAUUACACCUUGAGAGUGUACCCUGUGCCAGAUCUGAUCGUCACUGCAGAUAAAUAUGAUCCUUUCACCGUUACUAAUACUGACUGCCUUUGCAUAAAUCCUGGUUCUUUUCCAAGAAGUGGAUUUUCAUUCAAAGUGUUCUAUCCCUCCAACAAAACAGUAGAAGACAGGUAAUAGCUUCAGGACCUGAUGUUAUUAACAAAUGAUUAACAUAACCACUUUCUGCUUGCUUUCUUCUCAGAAUGAACAGGAAUAUUUAAUGAUCUAGACAAAAGAACAUAAUCUCUGGUUACCCCACAGGGGUCUACUUGUAUCCAUACAUAGCGUUCUUGGGGACAGUGAAGUGAAGCAAACUUCAAGAUCUCUGAAUUUCUGAAAGACUGCAUGAAGAAGUCAAAUAUUCUGUUCCAACAUACUGCAGAACUAAUUUUAGAUUGUUUCAUAUGGUUAUGGAUUUAUUUUAUUGUGUGUUAGAUUAUUCAUAUUUAAAUGUCAAUGCAAAAGACUGAUAAAUUUUGUAAAUAAAUUUUACAGGGAAAAAAAAGUCAGUGUUAGUAUAUUAUGAAUCAUUCAUUCUUCUAAGAAACUGUGUUUGAGUAACCUGCAAGAUCGAAAACUAAAAGUGUGGAUGCAAUUAAAACAGAUACUCAAACUGGAUAUAUUUUAUAUUUAAACAUUAAGUACGUAUUCAAAAUUGUGUGCCUCUUCCGAGAAUUUUGUUUUUUAACCUUGUGCUAGUCUUUAAGUCAGGAUCUACUUCUGACACAAAUAUAGAAGACCUCUUUCUUGAGCAGUUUUGUAUGAUUUAUUCUACACUUGAUUUGACAGUUUAA